UUGCAUGGUGGUGGGUGUUGUGCUGGGCUCCCUUGGGGUUCUUUGCCUAGCUGUUGGGUGUACAGAUGUUUGUCGGGUUCCUGAAGAUGCGUCGACGUGUUAUCAUCCACGCAAGCUUCCCCAACCCAGCCAGUGUACCCCAAAACAGGCAUUAUUGAGGAGGACGGGAGGAGGGAGCGAGCGAGCGGCUGCAUACAUUAUUGAACGGGACAGAAUUACAUUCUUCCCACAGUUGUACGACUACACUGAAGCAAGCCCAGAAUAGUGUUGAGUGACCAUGAUGAAUCAGUACUACUAACGCCAAAGAAGUGAGGGAAGUGUUUGGAGUGAGCGUGCAAG